rnacentral:rRNA from 1 species
CGAGAGAGAGCUUGCUUUCUCGAGCGAGUGGCGAACGGGUGAGUAACGCGUGAGGAACCUGCCUCAAAGAGGGGGACAACAGUUGGAAACGACUGCUAAUACCGCAUAAGCCCACAGGUCGGCAUCGACCAGAGGGAAAAGGAGCAAUCCGCUUUGAGAUGGCCUCGCGUCCGAUUAGCUAGUUGGUGGGGUAACGGCCUACCAAGACUGCGAUCAGUAGCCGGACUGAGAGGUUGAACGGCCACAUUGGGACUGAGACACGGCCCAAACUCC